rnacentral:rRNA from 1 species
UUGACCUCGGAUCAGGUAGGAAUACCCGCUGAACUUAAGCAUAUCAAUAAGCGGAGGAAAAGAAACCAACUGGGAUUGCCUCAGUAACGGCGAGUGAAGCGGCAACAGCUCAAAUUUGAAAUCUGGCCCUCACGGGUCCGAGUUGUAAUUUGGAGAGGCAGUUUUGGGCACCGCGGCGGUGUAAAUUUCUUGGAACAGAAUGUCAGAGAGGGUGAGAAUCCCGUCUUGGACCGCCGUAGGACCCGUGUAAAACUCCUUCGACGAGUCGACUUGUUUGGGAAUGCAGGUCAAAAUGGGUGGUAAAUUUCAUCUAAAGCUAAAUAUUGGCCAGAGACCGAUAGCGCACAAGUAGAGUGAUCGAAAGAUGAAAAGCACUUUGAAAAGAGAGUUAAACAGUAUGUGAAAUUGUUGAAAGGGAAGCGCUGGCAACCAGACUCGCGCGCGGGGUUCCCCCUUGCUUCUGCUCGGGUCACUUCCCCGCGUCCGGGCCAUCAUCAGUUUUGGGGGCCGGUUAAAGGUCUCGGGAAAGUAUCCUCUCCUCCGGGGGAGGACUUAUAGCCCGGGGCGUCAUGCGGCCUCCCGGGACUGAGGAACGCGCUUCGGCGAGGAUGAUGGCGUAAUGGUUGUCAGCGACCCGUCUUGAAACACGGACCAAGGAGUCUAACAUCUAUGCGAGUGUUCGGGUGACAAACCCUGGCGCGGAAUGAAAGUGAACGGAGGUAGGAAGGCCUGAGCCUGCACUAUCGACCGAUCCUGAUGUCUUCGGAUGGAUUUGAGUAAGAGCAUAGCUGCUGGGACCCGAAAGAUGGUGAACUAUGCGUGAAUAGGGUGAAGCCAGAGGAAACUCUGGUGGAGGCUCGCAGCGGUUCUGACGUGCAAAUCGAUCGUCAAAUUUGCGUAUAGGGGCGAAAGACUAAUCGAA